rnacentral:rRNA from 1 species
UACAGAGGGUGCGAGCGUUAAUCGGAAUUACUGGGCGUAAAGCGUGCGUAGACGGUUAUUUAAGUCGGGUGUGAAAGCCCGGAGCUCAACUCCGGAAUUGCCUUUAAGACUGCAUCGCUAGAAUCAUGGAGAGGUUAGUGGAAUUCCACGUGUAGCGGUGAAAUGCGUAGAGAUGUGGAGGAACACCAGUGGCGAAGGCGGCCACCUGGACGGUCACUGACGCUGAGACGCGAAAGCGUGGGUAGCAAACAGG